rnacentral:lncRNA from 1 species
GUCCCACGCUGUCAAGAUUUUUGGUAUCUUUUUUUUCACCGCCCGUAGACUACAGGAAUUAUCUUUCCUUUUUUUCUUCUAACAUUUACUUGUAUAAAUCAAAUCCUAUAGAAAUUCUUUUUUUUUUUUGCACAUCCCCAAUAUGUGCAAUACGUAGUAAAAGUAGCGUGCAAAGAAUUAGUUUGAAGUUAAUUUAUUGUUCCGUAACAACAACCAAUCAGUCAGUAAACUUCAUAUUUUAAUAUGUUGUGUACAGUAACUAUUUUACGUUCCUGUAGGAAAGUGCCAGAUAACAGAUUUUGUAAAACUUCCCCGUUGUUAUAAUACUUGAAUAAACGGUAUUUAUUGAAUUAGCUUUAAAUUUCU